ACAAUGGGAAACUAGGGUUCCGGCCAAUGUAGUCAAGGCGUCAGGUCCAAGAGUUUCCGGUCUCGUGAUAACGAGGCUCCACGGAGGGAUAAAAGCCCGGGAGAU
rnacentral:sRNA from 2 species